rnacentral:lncRNA from 1 species
AAAGAACCUUCUGAGGGCCACAUUCCCAGGAGUUAGUCAAGGGUCACUCAUGGUUCCCUUGAAGACAUAGGAGGGAGCCACCGGACUUGCUGUGUUAACUCUUUCCUCACAAUAUGUAGAGCAGAACCAAAUCUGGCUAGAAUUUGAAAAAGGGAUUUCACUGCCACAAAAUCACUUAUGUGGUAGAGGUUAAAGAUGGCUUUGCCAUCUGGAGGCCGAUCACAGGUGAACUAAGAAAGCCUUCCUGUUGUGGGCCUCUGGUUGAAGACAAAGGGUUUCACUAUGCUGUCCAGAUUAGUCUCAAGCUCCUGGGCUCAAGUACUGCUAUUGCCUAAGCCUCUGGAGUAGCUAGGACUACAGGUAUGUCACCACGACCAGCUGGUAUCAUUUUUUUCUAAAAAAUAGCACAUUUGAAAGUGUAUGGAUUUUGUUAGAACUCGUCUGACACAUAACCCUACCCUCUUUCCAAUGAGCAUGUUAGUUGCAUAUGGUAGGUGUUCAGUUAGAGCUUGCCUAUGAAUACUUGAAAAUUCCACAAGUCAUUCUUCAAUUGAUUUGUUGCAAAUUCUGCUGCCUUUCCUAAUCCUUCUCAUUUGACCAUCAUUAGUAACUGCAUAUUAAGUUUCUUGGAGACGUUUCCUGACUUUGGAACUACCAUCAGGCAUACUUGACUAUCCCAAGGUGUGGUCUUUUCUGUUUCAGCUCUGGUUAUUUCAUUUCACAAGCCUCAAGCUUUUCGGACUUAUCAGUAGGCCAUACCUAAACUAGCCUGUGUAUCUUAGUAACCUUCCCACUUCCACUGUUGCUCAAGUAAAACCAUGCUGUUACACGCACCAGCUUGUCCAUUAAUUCCUCUUUUCCUGUGACUUUUUCACCAAACUGAACAUAUCCCAACUUCUUUCCAGGCCACUUGAUUGCUCCUGGAGUUUGUGCAUCAUUAUCACCCGAGUGGCCUUCUUAAGUAAAAAACCAGAUCCUGG